AUGUGCGCGCGCACCGCCUUCCGUUAACUAAGAUGGCGGCGCCCGCGCUACGAGCCGGCCGCCGUUGGCUUUUCGGCCUGAGGGCCGCUUCGCCCCGGCUCCAGGCACCUGGGGGACGGCGGCAGUCCCACGACCAGCGGCCGCGGGCUCCGGCCAAGGGUCUCUUAGCGGCUCAGCUCGAGCGGGGCCUGUUCCAGGAGAUUUUCCCGCCCCAAGCCGCCGAGGAGCAGCUCCCCGGGUUGUUGGAGGCGGGCCGCCUUCCCGUCACGGCCUACUGCGGCUUCGACCCGACGGCCGACUCGCUGCACGUCGGGCACCUGCUGGCGGUGCAGGGCCUGCUGCACUUCCAGCGCGCGGGCCACAACGUGGUAGCCUUAGUGGGCGGCGCCACGGCGCGCCUGGGAGACCCCAGCGGCCGCGCGGAGGAGCGCGAGGUCCUCCCGGAGGAGCGCGCGCGGGAGAACGCGGCCUCUCUCCGCCGGGAGCUCCAGAGGCUCUUCGACAACCACCGCGAGCUCUUCUGGAGCGGGGAAGGGACUCGCCUGGGCCGCGCCGCCGUGCUGGACAACGCCAGCUGGCUGGAGCGCGAGCCCGUGGUGGGGUUCCUGUGCGCCGUCGGGGGCCACCUGCGCAUGGGGACGCUGCUGAGCAGGCAGAGCUGCAAGGCCCGCCUGAGCAGCCCCGGCGGCAUGGGGCUGGCCGAGUUCCUGUACCCGGCGCUGCAGGCCUACGACUUCCUGCACCUGCACCGACACCACGGCUGCCGCAUCCAGCUGGGAGGAGCGGACCAGAUGGGCAAUAUCAUGUCCGGACACGACCUCGUCUCCAAGGUGACAGGCGAAGAUGUAUUUGGAAUAACGGUGCCUCUUAUUACAAGUACCACUGGAGAUAAGUUGGGGAAAUCUGCUGGCAAUGCUGUUUGGCUAAACAGAAAUAGGACCUCUCCCUUUGAGUUAUACCAGUACUUUGUCAGACAGCCAGAUAGCGCUGUUAAAAGGUAUCUGAAGCUUUUCACUUUCCUCCCUCUUCCGGAAAUCCAACACAUUAUGGAAAUGCAUGCUAAAGAGCCUGAGAAGUGGGGGCCCCAGAAACGGCUUGCUGCUGAAGUAACUAAGCUUGUUCAUGGGAAAGCAGGUCUGGAAUCUGCUAAGAGGUGCACAAGGGCCCUUUAUUACAGUGACAUAGCAGCACUAGAGACUAUGUCUGACCAAGAGCUUCAAGAACUCUUCAGGGAAGCACCAUAUGUUGAGUUGAUGCUUGAACCUGGGACAACAGUACUUGAUUUGUGUCGGAAAGCGAAUGCUAUUGUAGAUGGACCAAGGGGGUAUCGUGACAUAACAAGUGGUGGAGUUUCUAUAAACCACAUUAAAGUAACUGAUCCCGAUGCUGUUCUUGUUCUUGGACAACAUAUCCUCAAUAAUGGCUUGUCACUCCUUAGAAUUGGAAAAAGAAAUUACUAUGUUGUGAAAUGGCUUCAGUUGUCACACGAAGAACAAAAAUGCUGAGAUUCUUUUCAAGUAUGUUAUGAGUGCAUUUUACUUCAUGGACUGAGAACACACACCAAACAACUCGCAAGAACUGUGGUGUGAAUUGCUUUUUCUCACUGUGUGAGACUUGGUAUCGUCUAGAAAUUGGAUGGCAUCUUAAUUCGUACUUAAAUCAUGAAACGAGGAGGAACUCUAUGGUACAAUGCAGAGUCUAUCCAAAGAAAGCAACUGUUGAAAUAUGUUAUCGCAACCAAGAGCCGUAUCUGAAUUCAAGGACCCAUUCCAGCUAUGCAAAAAUGUUCAGUGUGCAAGGCCAGUGACCAGUGUGGCUUGGGAAAGAAUUAUGAGGGUCACAUAAGGGGGCCUAGGCUGUGGUUCACCAUACAUGG